ACUGAAUAGAUACCCUGGUAGUCCAUGCCGUAAACUAUGGAUACUAGCUGUUGGGGGUAUCGACCCCUCCAGUAGCGAAAGCUAACGCGUUAAGUAUCCCGCCUGUGGAGUACGAUCGCAAGAUUAAAACAUAAAGGAAUUGACGGGGACCCGGCACAAGCGGUGGAGCGUGUUCUUUAAUUCGAUGCUAAACGAAGAACCUUACCAGGGCUUGACAUCCCUUGAAUUACUCCGAAAGGAGUGAGUGCUUUAUUGAGCAAGGUGACAGGUGAUGCAUGGCCGUCGUCAGCUCGUGUCGUGAGAUGUUUGGUUAAAGUCCAUCAACGAGCGCAACCCUUAUACUUAGUUGUAUUUUUCUAGGUAGACUGCCCCGGUAACGGGGAGGAAGGGGGNGGUA
rnacentral:rRNA from 1 species